UACGUAGGGGGCAAGCGUUAUCCGGAUUUACUGGGUGUAAAGGGAGCGUAGACGGCAUGGCAAGCCAGAUGUGAAAUGCCGGGGCUCAACCCCGGGACUGCAUUUGGAACUGUUAAGCUGGAGUGUCGGAGAGGCAGGCGGAAUUCCUAGUGUAGCGGUGAAAUGCGUAGAUAUUAGGAGGAACACCAGUGGCGAAGGCGGCCUGCUGGACGAUAACUGACGUUGAGGCUCGAAAGCGUGGGGAGCAAACAGG
rnacentral:rRNA from 1 species